GAAGCUGACCAGACAGUCGCCGCUUCGUCGUCGUCCUUUCGGGGAGACGGGCGGAGGGGAGGAAAGUCCGGGCUCCAUAGGGCAGGGUGCCAGGUAACGCCUGGGGGGGGAAACCCACGACCAGUGCAACAGAGAGCAGACCGCCGAUGGCCCACGUAAGUGGGAUCAGGUAAGGGUGAAAGGGUGCGGUAAGAGCGCACCGCGCGGCUGGUAACAGUCCGUGGCACGGUAAACUCCACCCGGAGCAAGGCCAAAUAGGGGUUCAUAAGGUACGGCCCGUACUGAACCCGGGUAGGCUGCUUGAGCCAGUGAGCGAUUGCUGGCCUAGAUGAAUGACUGUCCACGACAGAACCCGGCUUAUCGGUCAGUUUCACU
rnacentral:RNase_P_RNA from 1 species